UUGUUGGUAAUGAAGAGAGAGAGAGAGAGAUAAGAUCAAAAUAAAAAAUUUGGAUAUUGUCCCAACUGUCGUCUUCUUCUCAGCCGCAUUUUAUAAAUGUGCCCAACUCAAUCCUCUAUGUCGGCACCAUACUCUUUAAAUUGUAUUAUUCCCUUUAACCAUUACUACUAUUCUUCUUCUUCUUCUUCUUCUUCAAUUUAAGAAACAAAUGAAGAGAUAUUAUAUAGAGGAAUUGAUGAAUAAAUUAGACAGCAAAUUGAAAGUAAUUGGGGAUACGGAAGAAAUGAAGAAUGGUCGGUGGAAGUGUCGUGUCCUCUCCAACUCAAUAUUUGAUGCGUAGCGGAGAGUUCCUCAUAUCUCAACUCUUGAACUGAUUGACAGGGACACCACUCGCAAAUUUCGGCUGUCAGCUCCAAUUAGUUGACACUACUGGACCAAGACAAUAAGUCUCAACACUACUGCAAUUAUGUAUUUUAAAACAAGAAUGGCCGUUAAAGAUGCUCUAAUGUGGAUAAGAGCUUUAGGUACUGUACACGUGUCUUUGCUUGUAGAAUCUGCUAAACAUAUCAAUAGUCUGUAAGCAGCUCUAGAAUCUACAAAAACCUAAUGGCUUACUCUCGGGUAAAAUGGUACCACGUCGACAGAGCUAAGUUUGUAGGAGCCCAUGGAUGCCAGCUCUUCAUGCAGACAAUUUCUGAUAUUAAGGUGUAUGAUUUGGUAACCCGUUCAACGGAUAUUGCACAAGAUGCCAUUUUGAAUUGGGAAUCUUUUUUUGUCCAAGUCUUGUCUCAGUUUAUAUGUUAUAUUUAUUAAUAUUAAAUAUAUUUUAUAUGUAUACAUUCUUUUCUUAUUAAUAACAUUACCUUUAUGUAA